AGAGGUUUUGAUCUCUCUGAACUUCAAAGCCCUGUGGUUUGAGCCCACACAGGAUGUACUCGCUAGACUCUCUCUGUCGCUGGGGGGGCAGGUACCAAACGUGUAUUCCCUCCCAGAGCCAAUAAUAUCAGGGACCACUUCCUGCGCGUGGAUUUUUUUUUUCACUCUAAUGUAAACUUCCUGUUGAGGUCUUCAGCAAUUUCCUCUUGUGCAGUUCUCGGGGGAGACGGCCAUCGGUUCGUCAUGACCCUCUGAACAGUGGUUUAGCCUUUCUGUAGGAAUAUAGCACGGCCCAGCUCUGCUCUGGGGACCAUCUGCUUCGGUUUUGUUUGUCCAGGUGUGAUGCAUUUUUUUCUCCUUAAUUCCCGCAUUCUCUGUUUACUUUUUGAAAUGAGAGCAUAUAUAGGCUCUUCGCAGAUCCAGAGGAAAGGACAGCGCCUUGGCCGUAGACGGGUGUUCAGGCUACGGUUUAGGCUCAUCAGAAGCUUUACUCAAAACAGCUGGCUGAGCGAGCCCCGCGCUGUCUCCGCUCAAAGGCAAUAUUCGCAGGAGGAAGAAAUCUCAGCGAUUCUCAGGUCCAGGCUUCUCCCGAGUGGGCUUCUGUGGAAACCCCAGCUAUCCACACUUGCGGUCUUUACAGACACCGUGAGAGGCAUGUCCAGAAUUACCCACAUAUUGGCUCCCCUGUCCUCCUGAUUUUCUGCUGAAAUAACCCAACACAUGUAUCUGGAAUGAUUCUAGACCCUUCUAACCCCCCCUCCCCCAGGCUGAGGGACCCCUGGCAUUGAGGUUGCAAGGAUGCAGGUGACUAGCAGAGAAGGUCCACUGCAGGGAGUCAGACUGGGGCCCAGCAGAGGGCACGUCCAGUGCGGCUGCGGGAAGCAGGGUCAGGUCCCAGGGGGCAUCAGGCUUUGUGGAAAGAUUGCUUCCAUCCCACACACCCUCUCCCGUUGUCUUCCUGGACUGCCGAAAAAAAAAAAAAAGUUAAAAUGCAGCUUUAAAAUAUACACCACCAUCACCACCCGCGUUUUUGACUGGAUCGAAACAAAUAACCAGUGACCUAACCGGGUGGCUUUCAAGAUUCUGUUCAACUGAGGGCUUAAUACGUACUGGAUUCUAUUCUAGGGCUAGGGGCAAUGCACCUGCUCUCGCGAGCCCAGUCCAGGAGGGACGACGGGGCUGCCAGAUAAGAUUGCAAGGAUGUUCUCCUACUAAGGAAACAUGCAGAGUUUGUCUGAGAUUCACAGUUAACUGGGUGCCCUGCAUUUCUAUUUGUUAAAUUUGGCAACCCCGAGUAGAGAAGGUGGACAUGAUUAGGGAGAGAAAAGGGCUCUCAGAGCCCAUAGGGAGGGCCCCCAGCCCAAGGCUAAUUGGGAUGUCACAAAGUCGUGGGAUCCUGGGAAAGCGAUCUCCCUUAUAAUUUUUUUAACUUUCUCCUCUCCACUUUGAAUAUGUUAUAUGCAAACAACGUGAUAUUGCAAGGCUAGUCAUGUUCCCUUUUGGCCCGAGGCCACUUUCCAUCCCUCCCUAGCCUGCUGAACCUUUGCGCUCUGGCUUCCAUUGGGUUUGGCCAGUGGGAGGCACCUGCCUCAGUGCCCAGCCCCAGUGCAUGUCCCAUGCGUUGCCAAAUACAUUCCACUGAGAUUUCCCAGUUUACCCAAGCUACCGAUUUCCUGCACAGAACUUGUUGCCUGCCCAAAUUAAUCUGAUGCCUAUAAUCAACAGUACAAAGUGUCGGCGAGGAGGUGGGGGAACCGGAAUUCUCGUAUCUCACGGGUAGGAAUGUGAAUUGGUGCUGCUGCUUAGGAAAACAGCCUGGCUGCUAAACUCAGAGUAACCCUAUGGCCCAGCAAUUCCACUCCCAGGAAGGAAUGAAGUGCUGAAACACGCUACAGCAUGCGUGAAUUUUGAGAACACGCUGAGUGAAAGAAGUCAGACGCGGAAGACCACAUAUUGUCGAAUGCAGUUGAUAUGGAAUGUCCAGGACAGGAGAAUCCAGAGAGACAGAAGCGCUUGUUUUCAAGCCCUUAGGUCUAAGGAUUCCUACAGCCGGGGACCUCACCCCACAUCAUCAUCAGACGAGUGCCAGAGCCCCGCAAAGAAGCUGUAGUUCUUUCCAUGAAAAUAUCUGAAACAACUUUUAUAAAUUUGUUUUUGAAAAUAUGAGGCUGCAAAUAACUAAUUUAUGAUUGGCUAUGACUUUCUCAGCAAUCACCAUGCAAACUUGGGAGUUUGGACAGGGGAGAAAUUAUAUAGCCUACAGGUAGCAUUCCAGUGUGAUGAGUUUUUCUAUUUCUUAAGAUUUUAUUUUUAUGGGAUCUAUACACCCAAUGUGACGUUCACACUCAACCCUGAGAUCAAAAGUUGUCUGCUCUAAGGACUGAACCAGCCAGGUGCCCCUCCAGUGUGAUGAGUUUUU